AUGGCUAAGAGAUUUAACUUUCUUGUGCGGUAUAGAGAAUUGGUAAAAAAUCUCCAAUCAACUACUACUCCUAAAGCUGCUAUAGUUAGCCACUUCUCAAUUGCAAAACAAUCUCAUUAUUUGCAUACUCAAGGUGGUGAUCCAUUAGUAGGACCAGAAAAUCAAGGGUCGGAGAAAGAGGUUCUCAGAAAUGUUAAAGAACUCACAGAGGCUGAUAUGAAUAUUAUGGACACAGUGGAGUAUAGAAGUAAGGAAGGUUUGGUAGGGCAACUUGGAGAUGGCUGUGAUAACGUUCGGUUUUAA